rnacentral:rRNA from 1 species
UUUCGAAUCAUUCACAAUGGGCGAAAGCCUGAUGGUGCGACGCCGCGUGGGGGAUGAAGGCCUUCGGGUUGUAAACCUCUGUCACCGGGGAAGAAACGCUUCAGGUUAAUACCCUGAAGCCUGACUUAACCCGGAGAGGAAGCAGUGGCUAACUCUGUGCCAGCAGCCGCGGUAAUACAGAGACUGCGAGCGUUAUUCGGAUUCACUGGGCGUAAAGGGUGCGCAGGCGGCCAAAUGUGUGAGGCGUGAAAGCCCAGGGCUUAACCCUGGAAUUGCACCUCAAACUAUUUGGCUAGAGCAUUGGAGAGGGAAGCGGAAUUCACGGUGUAGCAGUGAAAUGCGUAGAUAUCGUGAGGAACACCAGAGGCGAAGGCGGCUUCCUGGACAAUUGCUGACGCUCAGGCACGAAAGCGUGGGGAGCAAAAGG